AUUUUAAUGAGUGAAAUAAGUAUUUGAUCCCCUCUCAAUCAGAAAGAUUUUUGGCUCCCAGGUAUCUUUUAUACAGGUAACGAGCUGAGAUUAGGAGCACACUCUUAGGAGCAAGGUCUCCCUGCUCAAGAAAGCACAUGUACAGGCCCAUCUGAAGUUUACCAAUGAACAUCUGAAUGAUUCACAGGAGAACUGGGUAAAAGUGUUAUGGUCAGAUGAGACCGAAAUCGAGCUCUUUAGCAACAACUCAACUCGCAGUGUUUGGAGGAGGAGGAAUGCUGCCUAUGACCCCAGGAACACCAUCACCACCGUCAAAUAUGGAGGUGGAAACAUUAUGCUUUGGGGGUGUUUUUCUGCUAAGGGGAGAGGAAAAUUUCACUGCAUCAAAGGGACGAUGGACGGGGCCAUGUACCAUCAAAUCUUGGGUGAGAACCUCCUUCCCCCAGCCAGGGCAUUAAAAAUAGGUCGUGGAUGAGUAUUCCAGCAUGACAAUGACUCAAAACACACAGCAAAGGCAACAAAGGAGUGGCUCAAGAAGAAGCACAUUAAGGUCCUGGAGUGGCCUAGCCAGUCUCCAGACCUUAUUCCCAUAGAAAAUCUGUGGAGGGAGCUGAAGGUUUGAGUUGCCAAAAGUCAGCCUCGAAACCUUAAUGACAUAAAGAAGAUCUGCAAAGAGGAGUGUGACAAAAUCCCUCCUGAGAUGUGUGCAAACCUGGUGGCCAACUACAAGAAACGUCUGACCUCUGUGAUUGCCAAUAACAGUUUUGCCACCAAGUACUAAGUCAUGUUUUGCAGAGGGGUCAAAUACUUAUUUCACUCAUUAAAAUGCAAAUAUAUUAAUUAGCACCCCCUAAAUAAAUGAAUAUAUCAGUUAAUAUAUUUUCUCUUUUUUUUUUUCUUUCGUCAAGCUUUCCAUCGCAUCUGAACUUCUUACAAGUUGUAUAGACAUUUUAUGGAAUCGUGUUCAUUUGGCAACAAGUUCUUUUGAGUUUGAUGCUUUGAAUGUAACUCGGUCAUCUGAAGCUGUCUACUGUAAAUAGUAGCUAAUGUUUCUAGUGCUAGGAGAAGUAAAUCCUCUCAUGUUCAAAAUGUAAUAUCACUGGAAAGCAACAACAUGUUUUGUUAAUCAACAUACUCUUUGAGAUAGCCCACCACAAUUCUUUAUAGAAAUGUAUGGAGGUAAAAAAAAAAGAGGUCUUAAAAAAUGUAAUGUAAGGAAAUUAUGACAAGUUGCAGUUUCUGAAUUUCGACUUGCACAACUGUCCAGACGUCAUGUGAUCAGUGAUUAGUUGGAGACAGUGGCUGAUAAUACGGGGGUCAUAUUUUUUAGCUAUGUCACUAAUCAACUAAUGAAAAUAUUAAUUUCCCAUUAAUAUUCUUGAGCCACUCCUUUGUCUCAUCUCAUCUUCAUCCGCUUAUCCGGUAUCGGGUCGCGGGGGCAGCAGCUCCAGCAGGGGACCCCAAACUUCCCUUUCCCGAGCCACAUUUGCCAGCUCUGACUGGGGGAUCCAGAGGCGUUUCCAGGCCAGUGUCGAAAUAUAAUCUCUCCACCUAGUCCUGGGCCUCCCCCGAGGUCUCCUCCCAGCUGGACGUGCCUGGGGAGACGUCCUGGGGGCAUCCUUACCAGAAGCCCGAACCACAUCAACUGGCUCCUUUCGAAGCAAAGGAUCAGCGGCUCUACUCCGAGUUCCUCGCGGAUCACUGAGCUUCUCACCCUAUCCCUAAUGUGUGGGUAUCAGUUAUCCCAAUUAGGAGAAAUGUGAUUUGGCUAAAGCAAGGUCAACUGUUUAAAUUGUCAUGCAUCUACCAUGAAAUACUUUUUCAUACUGAGUAAGAACAACACUACUUCCCACUAGGCCUGUAAUGUGAUUUUCAUCUUAAAGAGGGGCACAUUCAGUUUAACAGUUAAAGCCUGAUUGUUGUUAGAGCACUGGAGAAACAUGAGCAUGCUACUGUACUUUCCAUCUUAUCGGUUUGAUUACCAUCCACAUGCCAGUUGAAAUUUGUACACGGCAAAGAAUAAACACAUAGAAAUAUUGUUGUUCUCCUUGUCUCAACAGCACCAGAACCAAACCUUUUGAUUGACUGUCUUAACCGAUGUCCAUUAAGCAUCACCUCUCACACAUGAGGAUGUUCUGCUUUGAUCUCAGAUACUGCAGAAUCCAAUUCCUCAUCACUCAAUUUAACCAAUGGUAGCUAAAACUGCACAUGAUACUAGCUACAAAUUAGCCAUCACUACUGGUAGCUACGUUAAUUUAAAAAAAUGAAUCUCAUAAUUUCAGAACAUACCGAGGGCAGUGGUAUAGUGGCUGUUUCGUAGUUGUGCCUGAUGUAGUUCAAUCCUGAAGAGCCGCCCUAAUAGGCUCGGUGCACCAGCGUAGUGAAAACUUCCGCUUUUGUCUAGAA
ensembl:lncRNA